CCCCUUCCUUCUUUCUAGGAAACCCUCCAGAGAACUUCUUUGGAUUAGCAUUUGAAGUUUCAGCUAUAGCCGCCAGUUUUCCGUUCCUCACACCAUAUUCAACGCGAGCUCCUAUAGCAACAAGCUCGGAGAAUCCCAAAGAAGCACUUCCCACCAUCUUCUCAUAGAAUUGAGGUUGGACAGUGUCGAUAAACAGUUCGGCCAAUUCCUUUUCAGCAAGAGGUGGCUCAACUUGAGAAGCCAACUCCCUCCAUCUUUGAGCGUAUUCUUUAAAGGACUCCUUAUCAUGUUGGAACAUG
rnacentral:lncRNA from 1 species